ensembl:lncRNA
GUAUUUAAAAGUUCUUUAAUACACUCGUUUAAUGGAUAACAACACACCUCAUCUCAGACACCCGACCCAUGUUGGCAUAUUUAGUUAUCAGCUUUAUCUUUUUAUAACACUUUAUUUUACUCCUGCAGCUUCAUACUGCACGCAACAAUCGUAGGCUGCUGAAUAAAGUAGGGAGUGAAAGCACAGUGAGACAGCUGUGAUUUAUAUUUUUAAUAGUUUGUUGACACGGUCAUCAAACUAGUCACACAAAUAAGAUUUGAAAUGUUUUAUUUUCAUAGACUUUUGGAGAAACCAUGUCAAAAUAAAAUUAAAAAAAAGAAAUCCAACAGCAAAAGUAAUAUUUCCAUUCACUUUUUUUUUCCUUAAAAAAAUAUCAGCCUUUCCCCUUGUUCACAAACCGUUUCAAAACCUGGACAAACAGAAAUAACGUGUUCAAUUCCGAGAAGCUGGAAGGCCAUUACCAUUUGUAGGCAAAUAUAAAUAUAGUGGUUUGAACAGGGUCUCAAAUAGCUCACAUGGAAAGAGUGUACGCACAGUUCACACGACGCCAGGACACUCGGCACUGCCUGUAUCAAUUAUUUUAUUAAUGUAGAAAACCAGAACUCCUUAUUUUCCAAUUCAAAUUGAGGCGUUCAUGUCAUGGAAAUAUUUACAUUCAGCCAGCUUUCAUAAUCUCUGGAGUUUGUGUUGCCCUGUCAGUCGUGUCGAUUGUCUAUUCGGGGGCAUAGUUGUGAGUGUACGUGUAGUCCGAGUAGGGGCCCCGCGCCCCGCCCCUGCCUGCCGGGUAACCCCAGGAGCAGGGCCCGCCCCCCCGAUCGUGUCCUCGUCCAGGCCGCGGCCAGAGCCCCACCGGCGGCGCUCCUCUACCCCGAAAGCCCCCAAAGGGCCGAGACCGAUGCCGCCCCGCAUGGGCCCGUGAUCCAUCUGUCCGGGGAGACCCCUAAUGCUUGCGUAGCCCACGGCACACAUUGACGCGGAGCAUCUUUGGCCUGACUAUCGAGCCCCCCCUGUGGCCGCUGCGG